UUAAAUUGAAGAGUUUGAUCAUGGCUCAGAUUGAACGCUGGCGGCAGGCCUAACACAUGCAAGUCGAACGGUAACAGGAAGCAGCUU
rnacentral:rRNA from 45 species